GUUUUUUCUGUGUUUGUAAGGUCUCCCGGCAACGGCUUACGGGAAUCCGGUGCAGUCACGGCACCCGUCGCACUUGUGGUGACGUCAUAGACCCCAGCCGCAGCCCCGGGACCACGAGUUCGUCUUGUGAGGGUUAUUCACUCUAUAAAGGUCUCCCGGCAACGGCUUACGGGAAUCCGGUGCAGUCACGGCACCCGUCGCACUUGUGGUGACGUCAUAGACCCCAGCCGCAGCCCCGGGACCACGAGUUCGUCUUGUGAGGGUUAUUCACUCUAUAAAGGUCUCCCGGCAACGGCUUACGGGAAUCCGGUGCAGUCACGGCACCCGUCGCACUUGUGGUGACGUCAUAGACCCCAGCCGCAGCCCCGGGACCACGAGUUCGUCUUGUGAGGGUUAUUCACUCUAUAAAGGUCUCCCGGCAACGGCUUACGGGAAUCCGGUGCAGUCACGGCACCCGUCGCACUUGUGGUGACGUCAUAGACCCCAGCCGCAGCCCCGGGACCACGAGUUCGUCUUGUGAGGGUUAUUCACUCUAUAAAGGUCUCCCGGCAACGGCUUACGGGAAUCCGGUGCAGUCACGGCACCCGUCGCACUUGUGGUGACGUCAUAGACCCCAGCCGCAGCCCCGGGACCACGAGUUCGUCUUGUGAGGGUUAUUCACUCUAUAAAGGGCUGCUGGUGGGAUCCGGAACCGAAAGAAAUCGAGAUACCUUCGGAGACCACACCAGGUUGCACCCCAUGUUAAACUUCCCUCAGGAUUACAAGCAAGAAACUGAGCCCAGCAUGAUGUCGGCACCUUUUCCAGCAGCCAUCAUACGAGACACCCAGGUGGGCACGGCCCAAUCGGUAAAGACAGUAGUAAAGCCCCCUAAUGGAGGGUCAGGUGAGGUCGUGUCCACAGGUAAGUACGGUAUUGUAUAUUAUGCACAUACAAUUGCACCUCACAUUGUAGAGUCAACACAAGAUGAUGUAGUUGAACUCAAUUCUGUCAGGGUGAUUGUAGUCCCAAAUGGACAGACUGACACUCUGGGAGUCACUCACGUCAGGGGCAUUGCCCCUGGUCCCAGACAGAAUUAAGUACAAUUAUGUCUGAAUUUCCUGAUCCCAGGAAAGAUCUAGCCGCAUGCCAAAGGUUCAUUAAAAAAUUAGGUAACUCCGCAUAACCCAAUAACAAACAUUGGCGGACAUUGCUGAGGGUAUAUCUACCCUCCAAUAUUGACCCUGCGAAAUUUAUUACUGAUUGUAAAUUAGACGCAGACGUACCUCUCACUGAGGAAUACACUCAGGAGAAUGUACGACAAAUCAAUCUGCAAUUAGGAGUAUAUUUCCCAACUGUUGUCAAGUGGAACAAAAUUUUCUCCAUUAGCCAAAAAGAAGGUGAAAUGGCAGCGGAAUAUUUCCAUCGAGCACUGCAGGAAAUAUCUACAUACACUGGGAUCACGGACAUUGAGGAUAAAGUACAUUAUAGGGAGGUAGCUGUGUCCGUAUUAAUGGAUGGCUUAAAAGACACACUAAGAAUCAGGGUACAAACCUCUCUACCUAACUGGAGAGGUAUCUCGGUGGCUGCAUUAAGAGAGUCCGCUAUCGAGCAUGACCGUAAUAUCCAAAGAACCAGGGAAGCACGGGGAGAGCGGUUGAUGGUGAUGAACAUCCAAGCACUAGAAGAGGCAUCAAAUCGACCAAAACCCCAGGCCACUGGCACAUGGAGGAAGCCAAGGGUUUGUUAUCUUUGUAAAAGGGAAGGGCAUUAUGCCAGCAACUGUAACAGCACACAUAAAGUCAGACCCCCUAGACAAGAACACGAGCAAAGUUAUGACGCACGUAAUUGUAAUCAGGGAUCAUAUAGGAAGAAUUUUGGGAAGCACCUGUAAUUUGCAGCCAGUGAAGUUGAUCAUUAGCCUUGAUAGUAAGCCUGAGGUUACAGUCAAUGUAAUUGGGAGGUCAAUUCCUUGUAGACACAGGGACGGCCGGGUAAACUUUGUAAUUUAUCUUUAAAUGUUUCCUUCUCAUCGCUAACGUUCACCAGCAGAACACAAACGUCACAUGACUACUUGGUCUUUUCAGAGGUCUACCCAACCCCAGUAUAUCUUACCAGCAUCGUUGUGUUUGGCCAGGCACAAAGGGUGGAGAGUGGAAAUACUGGUGGGGGAGAAAGUGCAGAGAUACCUAUGGACAUAUUGGUGUAAAAAGCCUAAUGGUGAACGGAAAUCCGACAAUGUUUUUUUUUCCUAAUUGUUCUCUCUCUUUUUGUUCUUUCAUGUUUUAUGGAUGGUAUGUCACACAAAAGUUAGAUAAAUGGUAAUGCAAGAUUUAUGCUCCUUACAGAAAGAUCACUGAUUUGGAAAGAAUAUUGUAUCACCGGAGUGUUCGUUGUGGGAAGACUGAGAGACAGCACCUUUGAGAUGACAACUGAGCAAGAAGAACAAAAAGACUAGAGGACAAAUUAUCGUAACAAGUUUUUUUCCCCUUCAAUUAAUUUCUGUACCCCCAUUACAACUUUCUCUUUCUCCUCUUGUAAGAUGGACUCGCACCAAGAGACUGCAGUCCGUGUUUUCCUGUUGACCCUGUUGUUGACCAGAGCAGUCUGUUUCGGUGAGAGUACCAGUGAGGUCGAGAAAGGAUCUGGAAAGGGUUCUGAUGAUCAGGAUGGAGUAGUAGAAUUCCAAGAGCAACACAAUCACCGAGUAAAGGCGAUGCGGGUUAUCCCAACAAAUCGUGGCUCUUGACCCCAUUGUCAAAUCCUGUUGGUAGAGCAGAAAAACGUUACCAAGAGACACACAAAGCAUCGAGGCAAAUAAUUGAACGUGCCUUCGGGGUACUUAAAAGCCGGUUUAGAUGUUUAGACACUUCCGGCGGUGCUCUUUUGUAUUCACUGGGAAAGGUUUGCGGCAUGGUAAAUGCAUGUUGUAUUUUACACAACAUAUGUGUCGCAAACUGUUUGCCGGUGACUCUUCGUCACAGUGCUUUCUGACGCGGGAACCGUUCUUCUGCUCUACCGGUGGGUAUGGACGAAGGAGAUGAUUCCCGACGGACAUUGGUACAAAACUUUUUUUCCGUUGCCUAGUUUUACGUCCUGUUGACGCACCUUCCCAGGCCUGUUUUCAAAGUUUUGUCCUGUUGACGACCUGUUACCCCCUGUUUUCUCCUGUUGUUGGGUUGCCGCAAAUAUUGGACCCAUUUAUCUAACUCCACCAUGGGCGACCUGACCCUCCGCCAUGUAGCAGACAACCCCCCUCAGGUCUUGCGGAGUAUCCUUCCCAAGUUGCGUGGAUGUGAAGAGACACGACAUUUCUCCUGAUGUACCAUAGGCGAGCUACUUGUGAUGUGGACCUGAAUCUCCGCCAUGUAGCUGACAACCCCACUCAGGUCUUGCGGAGUAUCCUUCCCAAGUGGUGUGGAUGUGAAGGGACACAACAUUUCUCCUGAUGUACCAUGGGCGACCUACUUGUGAUGUGGACCUGAACCUCCGCCAUGUAGCUGACAACCCCCCUCAGGUCUUGCGGAGUAUCCUUCCCAAGUUGCGUGGAUGUGAAGGGACACCACAGUUCCCCUGAUGUACCAUGGGUGACCUAACAAUUCCACUGCAUCUCAUAUUUAACAUUGUAUUUGCUAAUAAUUUAAAUAAAAACCACAGAAAACUUCUCAAUG